AGAAAACUUAGGAGUUGUUUUCAUAUUUUUUUAGAAUUUGUAUCUGUGCGAUUUUCAAAGUUUUGUUGUCUUUGGCCGACGCGACUGGAUCGUGUACGUAUUUCAAGACGAGCUGAUCGCCUGAUACUGGGGUUUUUGUGGCAAAUGGAGCUGCGGAAUCCUCAGCAUGGACAAAUCAGUGUCAUAACAGCCCAUUUCAAGCCAGCAGAGAGCUUCACUUGUUUUAAAGCAAUAAAAUAAGUUUUUAUGUAUCAUAUAACAAAUUAAGUGGCAUGUUAUUGUGGGAUCUUUCCCUGGUGGCAGUGGUUUCUGAGCUGAAGUGGGAUCUCUGAUCAAUUUAAUAAAUACUAUAUAAAUAGACAUCUUGUUUUAUUGUUGCAUUAAUUUUAAUCUGAAAAAAUACUCACA